rnacentral:tRNA from 1 species
GCGGCUAUCGUCUAAUGGUAGGACACAACCUUGCCAUGGUUGGAAUGUCGGUUCAAAUCCGUCUAGCUGCU